GUAACGCAAAUGUUGCAAAGAGAAACUUUCGUCAUUUCGGAUAUGGUCAACUAAUCGACCUGGAGUGCUCACCAACACAUCAAUACGACAUUCGUUCUCAUCACCAUUUAGUUGAUAUGUUUCAUGUCGUAAACUUUUUUGACCAGUCCAGGCACAAACUUGUAAACCGGCACCAGACAUAUAAUACUCAAAGGUUUUAGCAACCUGGACUGUCAAUUCUCGUGUGGGAACAAUAACCACACAACGCAAACGAGGUACUGUACGGUGACUAAGACAUUGGACGAUGGGAAUCACAUACGAAAGAGUUUUACCACUGCCAGUAGCUGCACUUACACAAACAUCUCCACCAUAACUAUACAUCGGACCGUGUCUUCCAUCUUGUAAGAGUAACGGUAAUACAGCAGCCUGAACAGCAAAUCCACGGGUGAUGUUCUGUUUUUGAAGUCGCUCGACAAGUUUACUAGAUAUAUUUAAAGACGAGAAUUCCACAGUUGUAUUAGGAUCGACAGUUAUGGGCUCAGCUAGCCAUUUAGGCAAGACAGAGGUGAUAUUUUUAACAUGCGGUUUUGAAUCUACAAAGUCUUCAACUGAUGGUUGUGGAAUUGGUAACAAAUCAUGAGGUUGAGCUUCAGCAUCAACAUCCUGCAUUUCUAUAUCUCGCUCAUUGUCUUCCUUUCUCGAUUGCUUUAAAGCUUGUUGUGCAGCUUGUGAAAAGCUAGCGGAUUUCUUCAAUCUCUCAAUGGCAGCCUCAGAAGCAGUAACAUGAGUCUUAUUCUCGUCAUUAAGCCAUUUUCUUUUAUUUCUCUUGCUCUUUUUUUCAAUUUUAGGCUUCGAAUGAGAAGAUUUAUCUACUUCAACAGACAUUGCUCGAAUACCAGUACUUGGUACUGGUUAGAAAAAAUACUCUUUUGAAUAUGUGAUAUGGCUGCUUGUGCUAAACUUGACUAUAGCUUAGGAGAUUUUAGUAAAGCAUAGUAUUUAUAGUAAGACACUUUAUAACCUUGUAAAUUCAUCGAUGAUUAUUAAAACAACUUGGCAUAUAGCAAUUACAGCCUUACAUGGCAAAGAUCUAUGCUUAAAAGAAAUUCAAAAAAAAAAGUCUAAUACUAAAGAAGAAUGUUCAUUCAAACCCAUAUGUACGUUUCACUAGAUCAUAUUUGGUUUCAGAAAUUGCACAAAAAGUGCUUUUAGCAGGGACCGAGCUAUCAUUGAACAUUUCUAUUAAAUCCGUGGGUUUAAAAUAUAACUAAUACUAGCUAUAGAUGUAAGAAGCAUUUCUCGCAGGACUUUGAGCGUAUUGUUCACGAACAAGUAUUUAGCAAAUAUAGAUGACUAGAACGUUUUGCUUUCAACUUUUCAAUGUUAAUAUAA